GAGGACACAUGAUGGUGCAUGAGGAGAUUGGGGGAGGUCUGAUACAGAUCCGAUUUCAGGUGGAGUCUUAUCUCACUUAGCAGACUGGAUUCAAGAGGCUACAGGACGGUAGCUGGUGGAGAAAUUUUGAGGGUGCUACGCGGCGAUAGGAUUGUGCUGGAGAGGAAGAAGGGGAGUAGAAGAUAUUAUUACUUAGCGGGGAGCCCAGUGCGAGGUGGAGCUUCAGGAGCCAGGUGGAGCCCAGAGUGAGGUGGAGCUCCCAAUGGAGGUGAAUCAGAUAUAAAAUAGGAGACUCGGAAGGACGAGAGGUGAUUUCACAAAGUGAGAUUCUUAUUACUGUAGGAUGAUGUUUCGAGUAGGUCU
rnacentral:lncRNA from 1 species